UUCAGAUGAUGAGUUAAAACUGUU
rnacentral:piRNA from 1 species